rnacentral:rRNA from 1 species
UACGGGGGGAGCAAGCGUUGUUCGGAUUUACUGGGCGUAAAGGGCUCGUAGGCGGCCAACUAAGUCGGAUGUGAAAUCCCCAGGCUCAACUUGGGAGCUGCAUCCGAUACUGGAUGGCUUGAAUUCGGGAGAGGGAUGCAGAAUUCCAGGUGUAGCGGUGAAAUGCGUAGAUAUCUGGAGGAAUACCGGUGGCGAAGGCGGCAUCCUGGACCGACAUUGACGCUGAGGAGCGAAAGCUAGGGGAGCAAACGGG